UCCGUUGGCUCCCUCGUGGGCAGAGUGGGGAAGAGGCCAGAGGGAGCCCCUGCUUCUGUUUGGGCGGCGCGCCGCGUCCUAGAAAACCCGGGCUGCUGCUGUGGAUGUGAAAGCCGGAAAAACGCCCCGCAUCUAGUGGCUUGAAGUUCAGCAGGAAAUAACAUCAGCUCUUCUGAUAAAAUAUUCAUGGCGGCUCAUCUUUUGUAAAUCACCUUUAAAGCUUCUCAACCUGAAGUAUUUGUGCCCUGAUGGAUCAUGUUCCCUUACAUGCAGUGCCUUGUGACUAAUGGAUGGCCAAGAAGCUAAAAAUAGAAAUCAGGUUUGAGAAUGGAAGAAAAGAUGUCUAUGAAAAUUUCAGGACUGUGUCAUUGAUGCUAUCUUUCUCCAGUGACUCACUUCAACAUACAUGACUACUGACCCAACAUUGUCAGAGAAAGAAGGCUCCUCUAUUACACCUUUGACUGCAGCUGGCAUCAUAAGAUACAAGUCAGGUUGAAACAGACUCGGAGGGGGAGUUGCAUGAAGAAGGUUUUUGGUGAGAGGUCUCAGGAGAUACCCUACUUCGGAGGUGGGAAAAGGAUGAAACUGAGGACAAAUGUGGAGAAGUGGGUCAGACAUGGAUUUGUGUAGCAGGAAACUUACUCAGAGACAUUAGGAAGGGAAGGCCUGGAGUACACUCCCAUCAUGAAGAUGAUAAGGAAUGCACUGGGGAGAGGGACUGGUAUCAUUGAGAAGUUCAGUGGUGGCUGUUUUCUGUCACUGUGAAAGUGGGCUUGCUGCUUUCAAUGGGAAUAAUAAGGAACCAGGACAGAGGGAACUAAACACCAGAAACAAGCUGGAUGUGAUUUCAUGGAGGGCAGCAAAGCCAACAUGGCCCAGAGGGCCUUGAACUGCUACAAUUUGUGGCCGUGGCAUAUACAGCAUGGUGGACCUGGAGCUCUGGAGGCUGGUGGCAAUCCAGUGUGUGCUGCUCAGACAACUUAUGCAGUGAAAUAUCACUUAGCACAUGAAAACACAUUAUGAGAUUAACUGACUUUUGGCUGAAUAGAAUUCUCUUCCCUGGGAAGCCACGGUUUGUACUUGACUUUGCACAUUCCUUUCAGCUUUGGAGACUUGGAUGAUGAGAAGGUGUAUCUCCCAUACAUAAUA